ACUGUGGAAGCUCAGGGUCACAGACCUGCUCAUCUGGAACAGCUGUGGACCUUACCUGCACAGAUCCUGAUGAUGUCAGACUGGUGGGAGGAGCCAGUCGCUGUAACGGUGGAGUACACAUCAAACAUCAUGAAGAAUGGAGAGUCAUGGGAUAUUAUCAUUAUUCCUUGGACAUCUGGACCCUGAAGACAGUAGAUGUAAUAUGCCAUCGACUGGACUGUGGAUCUGCUGUUUCUUGGAGAAGAUAUAGUGAAUCUGAUUCUGUGUGGUUCCUCAGCCCCACCUGUCUUCUCUCGACAUCUGCACUGAAGGACUGUGUGAGAACAUAUGCUGGGUCCUCUGACUCCACCCUGUUCCUCACCUGUUCAGACUCUGUCAGACUGGUCCAUGGUUCCAGUCUGUGUUCAGGCAGACUGGAGGUC